CGCGAUGUGGAGAAGCUUAGGUCAUCUCGCAAGGCUCAUAACCUUGAGGUCGGGGGUUCGAAUCCCUCCAUCGCUACCA
rnacentral:tRNA from 1 species